GGGGAUGAUUCUGGAUUCGACCGGAAGCGUGGAUUCCAAGGUGCAUGUCGAGGUGUGGUACCUCGUUAAACAGCCGCAAAAAAAUAGUCGCAAACGACGAAAACUUCGCCCUCGCAGCUUAAUAACCUGCUGAGAGCCCUCAGUUCUAAGCCUUGCUGGUGACGCUUAGUCUUGCUGGGGUCAGUUUUUCAUCAGCUCGUGUGGAACUGCCGCCUGUCAGGGAAGCAUUAAAGAAAAUUACAGGAUGGAUAUUAAGUGGCGUGGCUGUCCGCAGCUUGGUAUCGAGAUUAAAGACUGCCUAAGCAUGUAGUACUGAAGAUGAAGCCUUUUGGGACGCGGGUUCAAAUCCCGCCAUCUCCACCA
rnacentral:tmRNA from 2 species